AGAGUGGCCUCUGUGGCCAGGGAGCCGCAGGCAAGGGACUAAGGGGAGGGGGGCUCAGUGCCAGCUGCUUAAAAAUGCCCCUGUGGCAGCGAGGGGCACCAGAGGCUGGGUCUAAUUAGUUGAGAAGCAGUGACACCCCCAACCACUCCCCAAACAGGCUGGCUCCCGUCUCCAGGCCCCAAGGAGCCACACCUGGACCAGACCCCAGGAAAGGCAAGGGCGCUAGCUGGUGGGAGCCACCCCGCCAUGCUGAUGUCAGAGAAGCAAGAACUCUGGAGAAGCAGCCUCCUGGGACCAGAGGAGGGCCAGCAGCAGGCAGCCCGGAGACAGAACUGUGAGCCCACCCCACCUCCACCCUUCCGGCACCCACAUCCGCUCCCCACCCCAGCCCACCUGCAGGUGGCUCCUGGAGUAUCCUGGGUCCCUCAGGAUAAACUCCCCACCCUAACCUCAGAAUGACCAAGAAACUGGGCCUGAGGAUGACAAGAAGCAGAAUGGGCCUUGGUAAAGGAAGACCCCCCACUGAUUGGUGGCAGUGCGGGCAGUUCAGGGCUGUCAGCGUCUGGGUUGUAGGUAAAAAGAAAUGGAACCCAAGAAGGGAAAUCCAACUAGGAGCCAAGAAUCCGGUCUACCCCAUCCUCCUUACGAAAUAGCAAUGCAAAGCCCGUGUGAUUUGGACAUAAAGCCUCUGUUACUCAACUUGAUUCGGUGAAUAACAGACUUGAAAGAAAUGUGGAAAA
rnacentral:lncRNA from 1 species